UACGUAGGGGGCAAGCGUUGUCCGGAGUUACUGGGCGUAAAGCGCACGCAGGCGGUCGAUUAAGUUUGGAGUGACAGUUGGUGGCUUAACUGCCAAAGUGCUUUGAAAACUGAUCGACUUGAGGGCUUCAGAGGGACACGGAAUUCCGGGUGGAGUGGUGAAAUGCGUAGAGAUCCGGAGGAACACCGAAGGCGAAGGCAGUGUCCUGGGGAGUACCUGACGCUCAGGUGCGAAAGCCAGGGGAACGAACGGG
rnacentral:rRNA from 1 species